CUCUUCUGGAAACACACAAGAAUCUCGAAUUCGAAACUUGUGUAGUAGAUUGAUGGUGUCAAAACCCGACCAAGUAGUUCUUGCUCCUUUUAAUCCCGGGGGUCAUUGGGCACUGCUUGCUAUAAAUGCGUAUGAGGAUACAGUGUUUUACCUUGACUCGCUAAGGACGACAUCAAAAGCAACUACAAGAUAUGUAACCGACACAGCAAUAGCGAUAUUUCACUCGCAAAAGAACAUUAAUAAAAA